rnacentral:rRNA from 1 species
AACGAACGCUGGCGGCAGGCUUAACACAUGCAAGUCGAACGCAUCCUUCGGGGUGAGUGGCAGACGGGCGAGUAACGCGUGGGAACGUGCCCUUCAGUUCGGGAUAACCCAGGGAAACUUGGGCUAAUACCGGAUACGUGCGAGAGCAGAAAGAUUUAUCGCUGAAGGAUCGGCCCGCGUCUGAUUAGCUAGUUGGUGGGGUAAUGGCCCACCAAGGCGACGAUCAGUAGCUGGUCUGAGAGGAUGAUUAGCCACAUUGGGACUGAGACACGGCCCAAACUCCUACGGGAGGCAGCAGUGGGGAAUAUUGGACAAUGGGCGCAAGCCUGAUCCAGCCAUGCCGCGUGAGUGAUGAAGGCCUUAGGGUUGUAAAGCUCUUUCGUCCGGGACGAUAAUGACGGUACCGGAAGAAGAAGCCCCGGCUAACUUCGUGCCAGCCGCCGCGGUAA